rnacentral:lncRNA from 1 species
AUGCGCAGGGCAAGGGGGCGGGGAUGGAGGCUGAGCGGGGGUCUUGGGGAAGGAGAGGGAGCUGCAGGGCGCUGGGGAGGCAGGAAGCUGGGCCUUCUUCAAGGAGCCAAGUCUAUACCUCAGCCACCCAACAGGAGGAGUUGCUACUGUCAUUGCUGUUUCACAGACGAGAAAACUGACACCCAGGGAGAAGUAACUCGCCCAAGGUCACCUGCUGGUGAUGGCAGAGCUGGAAUUCGCAUUCAGAUCCGACGGGCUUCUGCUUGCUCCAUCCUCCACCCUGUUCCACGCACCGGUGAGCGUGGCCGGGACUGCUACCCACCCCGGAGGCCGGGUUCGGCCCGCCGAGGGCCACGUGAGCUGAGAGGUGAGCCCCCCGCCGCCGUCCUCCGCCGGCCCGAGGGCUGGGUGGGCUCUGCCCAGAGACGAAGCCUCCCCUCGCCGGGCCUCAGGGGGCCAACGGAAGGUCGGCACCGUGGGCGGAAGGGGCGGAGGAGCGGCUGCGCAGAGGGAAGCCCCGCCGCCCAGAGGCAGAGACCCGACGGUGCCCCGCGGAGGUGGGGCCAAGGGUGGGGAGCCCAGGGGCGUGCAGAACGUUACCCGCUACCCGCGGGGCGUAAUCUGGGGGCAGAUGGCCAGGUCAGGGCCCAUCUUUGGGUCUGGAAAUGUCACUGGGUCUUUGGGGCCACUGAAGGGCCCAGGAGGGCAGUUAGCAGGAAGGAACCUCUGACCAAACCUAAAUCAGUUUGCAGCCCACGUACCCUCAAACUCCUGGUGUUAAAGUGGGGUGUGUGCGUGCGUGCGUGCGUGUGUGUGUGUGUGUGUGUGUGUGAGGCCGCCUGCGGCCCAGAUGGUUCCUUCCCAGUCUCUUGCGGGUUCCAGCCCGGGGUGCCCUUUGUCUUGUCUCCCUACUCCUUUGGCCAGUAUAGUCCUCGGCUGUCCGGCCGUCGGGCGAGUGGGAGGGGGACCCCAAGGUUGGCACACGGAGGCUCAGGGAGAUGCUGCCAAAGGAAACGCAGGCCCCACGGGGACGCAGCUCUUCUACUUUCCGCUGUCAAGUUGUUACCGAACCCAAGUUGGCUCUGA